GAGAGGGAGAACACAGUUGGAGAAAAUCGGCAGCUGAGACGGCCUUGGCCGGACUUAGCACUCAGGCCUGUGAAUCAGGAGAUACAAAGACCUCCAAAAAAGGACCAGUUCCUCGGAUGUGCCCCCUCACAGAGAGAUGAAGGGGCAGCAGAAAACAGCUGAAACGGAAGAGGGGACAGUGCAGAUUCAGGAAGGUGCAGUGGCUACUGGGGAAGACCCAACCAGUGUGGCUAUUGCCAGCAUCCAGUCAGCUGCCACCUUCCCUGACCCCAACGUCAAGUACGUCUUCCGAACUGAGAAUGGGGGCCAGGUGAUGUACAGGGUGAUCCAGGUGUCUGAGGGGCAGCUGGAUGGCCAAACUGAGGGAACUGGCGCCAUCAGUGGCUACCCUGCCACUCAAUCCAUGACCCAGGCGGUGAUCCAGGGUGCUUUCACCAGUGAUGAUGCAGUUGACACGGAGGGGACAGCUGCUGAGACGCACUAUACUUACUUCCCCAGCACGGCAGUGGGAGAUGGGGCAGGGGGUACCACAUCGGGGAGUACAGCUGCUGUUGUUACUACCCAGGGCUCAGAGGCACUGCUGGGGCAGGCGACCCCUCCUGGCACUGGUGAGAUAUUGCAUGAGGAUGCUGGCUGAAAGGGCUAGAAUAGGCUGUGGGACAUGACUGGUAGGCAGUGAGCCUUCACUCAUGACUCUUAGUGAUCAUUAAGACCUGGACAGGCAGUGAGUCCGGGGCUGCUCUUCUAUUAGCAUGUUCUUUUUAGAGGAGGGGACCAGGGUCUUCACCUCAGGGCUUGGUGAGGUUCCUACCCAUGUCCUGACAGAACCUACCCUGCAUCUUCACAGGUCAAUUCUUUGUGAUGAUGUCACCACAAGAAGUACUGCAGGGAGGAAGCCAGCGCUCAAUUGCCCCUAGGACUCACCCUUAUUCC
rnacentral:sRNA from 1 species